ensembl:lncRNA LINC01569 long intergenic non-protein coding RNA 1569
ACGUCUGGCCCCGCCCCCGCGCCUGGCGCCCGCGCGCUCUCUCGCACGAUCUGCUCCCGGACUCCUUCAGCGCGCUGCCUGCCUGCCCAGGGCCUUCCCGGAGAGCAGGUGACGGCGGCCUCCGGGCAUGGAGCUCGCGCUGACGAAAGGUUCUGGAAGCCGCCGUAAAAAGUAAUCAAGAAACGGGUGACAGGACUUUUCGUAAGACAUUUAAUUUUUACCCAGAGUAUCCGAAACAUUGCCGUGUCAAUCUCAGUGCGAUGGGAGACUGCCGGCCCCAAGGAGCUGCUCGUCCUUCUGCCGAGUUCCGGCCCGGACCCGCGGAGGAGGAGACCGCCGCGCCGGAGCUCGGACCUGACGUUUUUGUGAAGCACAGGGGGCGUGGGAGGGACCGGAUCAAUGCGGCACUCAACAAAACCUGUUUUUAAAAGAGUCGUGCUGUGUCGCCCAGGCUGGAGUGCAGUGACGCGAUCUCGGCUCACUGCAGCCUCCACCUUCCGGGCUCAAGCGAGCCUCCCGCCUCAGCCUCCUGAGUAGCUGGGAUUACAGGCACACACCUCCA